CCAAGCCCUCAGCUCCAUACCGCAAACCAGCACCUAUCGCACCUGUUCAACAGAACAAGAGACCGAGGCCGAUGACUCAGGCUCCCCCUCAGGUUCCAGCAACAGGACGCGGUAGGACCUGUCAGCACUGUGGCAAGGAUCAUGGGAACCAACCCUACUAUCGCCUCAACAACACUUGCCGCAUAUGUGAUAGCGCCCAACAUUAUGCAAGGGAGUGCCCGAGGAAUCAUAACCAGGCCAGACCUCCUAUCUAAGGCAGAGCUUACAACCUCACUCAGCAAGAUGCAGAAGCCAACUCGGACGUGGUACAUGAUACUUAUACUAUCUGUAACCAUCUUACACAUAUUUUAAUUGAUACUAGUG
rnacentral:lncRNA from 1 species